GCCAGGUGUGGUGGCUCAUGCCUGUAAUCCCAGCACUUUGGGAGGCUGAGGCAGGUGGAUCGCCUGAGGUCAGGAGUUCAAGACCAGCCUGGCCAACAUGGCGAAAUCCUGUCUCUA
rnacentral:SRP_RNA from 1 species